GGGCCCGCACAAGCAGUGGAGUAUGUGGUUUAAUUCGAAGCAACGCGAAGAACCUUACCAGGUCUUGACAUGGAGACGACCGGUGCAGAGAUGCGCCUUCCCUUCGGGGCGGCUCACACAGGUGGUGCAUGGUUGUCGUCAGCUCGUGUCGUGAGAUGUUGGGUUAAGUCCCGCAACGAGCGCAACCCUUAUUGUUAGUUGCUACGCAAGAGCACUCUAACGAGACUGCCGUUGACAAAACGGAGGAAGGUGGGGACGACGUCAAAUCAUCAUGCCCUUUAUGACCUGGGCUACACACGUACUACAAUGGCGAUAAACAGAGGGAAGCAAGACCGCGAGGUGGAGCAAAACCCUAAAGUCGUCUCAGUUCGGAUUGCAGGCUGAAACCCGCCUGCAUGAAGUCGGAAUUGCUAGUAAUCGCGGAUCAGCAUGCCG
rnacentral:rRNA from 1 species